AUACGGAGGAUCCGAGCGUUAUCCGGAUUUAUUGGGUUUAAAGGGUGCGCAGGCGGCCAUUUAAGUCAGCGGUUAAAUCGUGGGGCUCAACCCCAUUCUGCCGUUGAUACUGGGUGGCUUGAUUGCGGUCGAGGUUGGCGGAAUUCGUUGUGUAGCGGUGAAAUGCAUAGAUAUGACGAAGAACACCGAUUGCGUAGGCAGCUGACCAGACCGCAAAUGACGCUCAUGCACGAAAGUGCGGGGAUCGAACAGGAUUAGAUACCCUGGUAGUCCGCACAGUAAACGAUGAAUACUUGUUUUCGGCGAUAUAAUGUCGGAGGCAAAGCGAAAGCGAUAAGUAUUCCACCUGGGGAGUACGCCGGCAACGGUGAGACUCAAAGGAAUUGACGGGG
rnacentral:rRNA from 1 species